rnacentral:rRNA from 1 species
GCCAAUGGCGGAGGCUACCAUGCAGUCGAGCGGUAGCACAGAGAGCUUGCUCUCGGGUGACGAGCGGCGGACGGGUGAGUAAUGUCUGGGAAACUGCCUGAUGGAGGGGGAUAACUACUGGAAACGGUAGCUAAUACCGCAUGAUGUCGCAAGACCAAAGUGGGGGACCUUCGGGCCUCAUGCCAUCAGAUGUGCCCAGAUGGGAUUAGCUAGUAGGUGGGGUAACGGCUCACCUAGGCGACGAUCCCUAGCUGGUCUGAGAGGAUGACCAGCCACACUGGAACUGAGACACGGUCCAGACUCCUACGGGAGGCAGCAGUGGGGAAUAUUGCACAAUGGGCGCAAGCCUGAUGCAGCCAUGCCGCGUGUGUGAAGAAGGCCUUCGGGUUGUAAAGCACUUUCAGCGGGGAGGAAGGCGAUAAGGUUAAUAACCUUGUCGAUUGACGUUACCCGCAGAAGAAGCACCGGCUAACUCCGUGCCAGCAGCCGCGGUAAUACGGAGGGUGCAAGCGUUAAUCGGAAUUACUGGGCGUAAAGCGCACGCAGGCGGUCUGUCAAGUCGGAUGUGAAAUCCCCGGGCUCAACCUGGGAACUGCAUUCGAAACUGGCAGGCUAGAGUCUUGUAGAGGGGGGUAGAAUUCCAGGUGUAGCGGUGAAAUGCGUAGAGAUCUGGAGGAAUACCGGUGGCGAAGGCGGCCCCCUGGACAAAGACUGACGCUCAGGUGCGAAAGCGUGGGGAGCAAACAGGAUUAGAUACCCUGGUAGUCCACGCCGUAAACGAUGUCGAUUUGGAGGUUGUGCCCUUGAGGCGUGGCUUCCGGAGCUAACGCGUUAAAUCGACCGCCUGGGGAGUACGGCCGCAAGGUUAAAACUCAAAUGAAUUGACGGGGGCCCGCACAAGCGGUGGAGCAUGUGGUUUAAUUCGAUGCAACGCGAAGAACCUUACCUGGUCUUGACAUCCACAGAACUUAGCAGAGAUGCUUUGGUGCCUUCGGGAACUGUGAGACAGGUGCUGCAUGGCUGUCGUCAGCUCGUGUUGUGAAAUGUUGGGUUAAGUCCCGCAACGAGCGCAACCCUUAUCCUUUGUUGCCAGCGGUUAGGCCGGGAACUCAAAGGAGACUGCCAGUGAUAAACUGGAGGAAGGUGGGGAUGACGUCAAGUCAUCAUGGCCCUUACGACCAGGGCUACACACGUGCUACAAUGGCAUAUACAAAGAGAAGCGACCUCGCGAGAGCAAGCGGACCUCAUAAAGUAUGUCGUAGUCCGGAUUGGAGUCUGCAACUCGACUCCAUGAAGUCGGAAUCGCUAGUAAUCGUAGAUCAGAAUGCUACGGUGAAUACGUUCCCGGGCCUUGUACACACCGCCCGUCACACCAUGGGAGUGGGUUGCAAAAGAAGUAGGUAGCUUAACCUUCGGGAGGGCGCUACCACUUUGAUCUUGGG